GGGUUGUGAGGUUAAGCGACUAAGCGUACACGGUGGAUGCCCUGGCAGUCAGAGGCGAUGAAGGACGUGCUAAUCUGCGAUAAGCGUCGGUAAGGUGAUAUGAACCGUUAUAACCGGCGAUUUCCGAAUGGGGAAACCCAGUGUGUUUCGACACACUAUCAUUAACUGAAUCCAUAGGUUAAUGAGGCGAACCGGGGGAACUGAAACAUCUAAGUACCCCGAGGAAAAGAAAUCAACCGAGAUUCCCCCAGUAGCGGCGAGCGAACGGGGAGCAGCCCAGAGUCUGAAUCAGUGUGUGUGUUAGUGGAAGCGUCUGGAAAGGCGCGCGAUACAGGGUGACAGCCCCGUACACAAAAAUGCACAUACUGUGAGCUCGAUGAGUAGGGCGGGACACGUGGUAUCCUGUCUGAAUAUGGGGGGACCAUCCUCCAAGGCUAAAUACUCCUGACUGACCGAUAGUGAACCAGUACCGUGAGGGAAAGGCGAAAAGAACCCCGGCGAGGGGAGUGAAAAAGAACCUGAAACCGUGUACGUACAAGCAGUGGGAGCACGCUUAGGCGUGUGACUGCGUACCUUUUGUAUAAUGGGUCAGCGACUUAUAUUCUGUAGCAAGGUUAACCGAAUAGGGGAGCCGAAGGGAAACCGAGUCUUAACUGGGCGUUAAGUUGCAGGGUAUAGACCCGAAACCCGGUGAUCUAGCCAUGGGCAGGUUGAAGGUUGGGUAACACUAACUGGAGGACCGAACCGACUAAUGUUGAAAAAUUAGCGGAUGACUUGUGGCUGGGGGUGAAAGGCCAAUCAAACCGGGAGAUAGCUGGUUCUCCCCGAAAGCUAUUUAGGUAGCGCCUCGUGAACUCAUCUCCGGGGGUAGAGCACUGUUUCGGCAAGGGGGUCAUCCCGACUUACCAACCCGAUGCAAACUGCGAAUACCGGAGAAUGUUAUCACGGGAGACACACGGCGGGUGCUAACGUCCGUCGUGAAGAGGGAAACAACCCAGACCGCCAGCUAAGGUCCCAAAGUCAUGGUUAAGUGGGAAACGAUGUGGGAAGGCCCAGACAGCCAGGAUGUUGGCUUAGAAGCAGCCAUCAUUUAAAGAAAGCGUAAUAGCUCACUGGUCGAGUCGGCCUGCGCGGAAGAUGUAACGGGGCUAAACCAUGCACCGAAGCUGCGGCAGCGACGCUUAUGCGUUGUUGGGUAGGGGAGCGUUCUGUAAGCCUGCGAAGGUGUGCUGUGAGGCAUGCUGGAGGUAUCAGAAGUGCGAAUGCUGACAUAAGUAACGAUAAAGCGGGUGAAAAGCCCGCUCGCCGGAAGACCAAGGGUUCCUGUCCAACGUUAAUCGGGGCAGGGUGAGUCGACCCCUAAGGCGAGGCCGAAAGGCGUAGUCGAUGGGAAACAGGUUAAUAUUCCUGUACUUGGUGUUACUGCGAAGGGGGGACGGAGAAGGCUAUGUUGGCCGGGCGACGGUUGUCCCGGUUUAAGCGUGUAGGCUGGUUUUCCAGGCAAAUCCGGAAAAUCAAGGCUGAGGCGUGAUGACGAGGCACUACGGUGCUGAAGCAACAAAUGCCCUGCUUCCAGGAAAAGCCUCUAAGCAUCAGGUAACAUCAAAUCGUACCCCAAACCGACACAGGUGGUCAGGUAGAGAAUACCAAGGCGCUUGAGAGAACUCGGGUGAAGGAACUAGGCAAAAUGGUGCCGUAACUUCGGGAGAAGGCACGCUGAUAUGUAGGUGAAGCGACUUGCUCGUGGAGCUGAAAUCAGUCGAAGAUACCAGCUGGCUGCAACUGUUUAUUAAAAACACAGCACUGUGCAAACACGAAAGUGGACGUAUACGGUGUGACGCCUGCCCGGUGCCGGAAGGUUAAUUGAUGGGGUCAGCGCAAGCGAAGCUCUUGAUCGAAGCCCCGGUAAACGGCGGCCGUAACUAUAACGGUCCUAAGGUAGCGAAAUUCCUUGUCGGGUAAGUUCCGACCUGCACGAAUGGCGUAAUGAUGGCCAGGCUGUCUCCACCCGAGACUCAGUGAAAUUGAACUCGCUGUGAAGAUGCAGUGUACCCGCGGCAAGACGGAAAGACCCCGUGAACCUUUACUAUAGCUUGACACUGAACAUUGAGCCUUGAUGUGUAGGAUAGGUGGGAGGCUUUGAAGUGUGGACGCCAGUCUGCAUGGAGCCGACCUUGAAAUACCACCCUUUAAUGUUUGAUGUUCUAACGUUGACCCGUAAUCCGGGUUGCGGACAGUGUCUGGUGGGUAGUUUGACUGGGGCGGUCUCCUCCUAAAGAGUAACGGAGGAGCACGAAGGUUGGCUAAUCCUGGUCGGACAUCAGGAGGUUAGUGCAAUGGCAUAAGCCAGCUUGACUGCGAGCGUGACGGCGCGAGCAGGUGCGAAAGCAGGUCAUAGUGAUCCGGUGGUUCUGAAUGGAAGGGCCAUCGCUCAACGGAUAAAAGGUACUCCGGGGAUAACAGGCUGAUACCGCCCAAGAGUUCAUAUCGACGGCGGUGUUUGGCACCUCGAUGUCGGCUCAUCACAUCCUGGGGCUGAAGUAGGUCCCAAGGGUAUGGCUGUUCGCCAUUUAAAGUGGUACGCGAGCUGGGUUUAGAACGUCGUGAGACAGUUCGGUCCCUAUCUGCCGUGGGCGCUGGAGAACUGAGGGGGGCUGCUCCUAGUACGAGAGGACCGGAGUGGACGCAUCACUGGUGUUCGGGUUGUCAUGCCAAUGGCACUGCCCGGUAGCUAAAUGCGGAAGAGAUAAGUGCUGAAAGCAUCUAAGCACGAAACUUGCCCCGAGAUGAGUUCUCCCUGACCCUUUAAGGGUCCUGAAGGAACGUUGAAGACGACGACGUUGAUAGGCCGGGUGUGUAAGCGCAGCGAUGCGUUGAGCUAACCGGUACUAAUGAACCGUGAGGCUUAACCUUACAACGCCGAAGCUGUU
rnacentral:rRNA from 1 species